rnacentral:rRNA from 1 species
UACAGAGGGUGCAAGCGUUAAUCGGAAUUACUGGGCGUAAAGCGUGCGUAGACGGUUGCGUAAGUCCGAUGUGAAAUCUCCAGGCUCAACCUGGAAAUGGUAUUGGAUACUAUUUAGCUUGAGGAGUGGAGGGGGGACUGGAAUUCUCGGUGUAGCAGUGAAAUGCGUAGAUAUCGAGAGGAACACCAGUGGCGAAGGCGAGUCCCUGGACAGUUCCUGACACUGAGGCACGAAAGCUAGGGGAGCAAACAGG